rnacentral:pre_miRNA from 12 species
CAGGGCCUUGGUUGGGAUAUCAUCAUAUACUGUAAGUUUGUGAUGAGACACUACAGUAUAGAAAAUCUACUAGCCCGGGUUCCCU